rnacentral:rRNA from 1 species
GACGAACGCUGGCGGCGUGCCUAAUACAUGCAAGUCGAACGAAGAUCUAGCUUGCUAGACCUUAGUGGCGAACGGGUGAGUAAUACAUAAAUAAUCUGCCCAUAUGACUGGGAUAACUAUUGGAAACGAUAGCUAAUACCGGAUAGGUUGAUCGGAGGCAUCUCUGAUGAAUUAAAGUAGGAUUUCUACACAAAUGGAUGAGUUUAUGGCGCAUUAGUUAGUUGGUGGGGUAACGGCCUACCAAGACGAUGAUGCGUAGCCGACCUGAGAGGGUGACCGGCCACACUGGGACUGAGACACGGCCCAGACUCCUACGGGAGGCAGCAGUAGGGAAUUUUCGGCAAUGGGCGCAAGCCUGACCGAGCAACGCCGCGUGAGUGAUUAAGGCCUUCGGGUUGUAAAGCUCUGUUGUAAGGGAAGAACAUUCAGGAUAGGAAAUGAUCUUGAACUGACGGUACCUUACCAGAAAGCCACGGCUAACUACGUGCCAGCAGCCGCCGUAA